AAGCGGAUGGAUCUCCAUGGAUCGGAAUCAAAUUUCGAUCGCGCCGGAAGACGCACUGAAAAAAGCGAUCACAACACCAUUCGCGCUGUUCAAAGCGACCAAUAUGAUGUUUGGGCUUCGAAAAGCCGCCCAAACAUGCCAACGAUUCGUAGACGAAAUCACAAGAGGUCUCGAUUUCGUCUAUGCGUACAUAGACGACUUUUUAAGACGACUUGUGUCCGAAAACGAAGAACGACACCGCGAACACUUACGGGUUUUGUUCAAUCGCCUUGACGAGUACGGGGUCGUGAUAAAUCUCGCGAAAUGCGAAUUCGGCGUGAGCGAAGUACAAUUCCUCGGUUACACUAUUGGCUGAAAGCGUUGACGCAAUAAUUAAUGUACUAUUACCCGCGACCGUUAAAGAUCUACGAAAGUACCUCGGUAUGAUCAACUUUUACGGAAGUUUCAUACCGGGAGCUGCGAAAAUCCUUCAACUACUUAGCGACUUGUUGAAAGGCACAACGAAGUGCAACGCAUCUAUCGAAUGGUCCGAACAAGCUAAAAAUAGCUUCCGCGAGUCGAAACGCACCUUAGCUAACGCGACAAUGUUAGCGCAUUCGAUUCCUAGCGCGCCCGUCAGCCUCGCGGUCGAUACAUCCGAUUACGCCAUAGGGGCGGUACUUCAACAGCGCAUCAACGAUUCCUAACAGCCCCUAGGUUUCAUGACGAAAUCGCUAUCCCCCGCGCAACGAAAGUACAGCGCGUACGAUCGAGAGUUACUUGCAAUGUACACCGCGGUAAAACUAUUCAGACACGCUGUCGAAGAAAGAGACUUCGCGAUCUAUACGGAUCACAAACCCUUAGUAUAUGCGUUUGAUCAGAAUCUCGACAAGUGUUCGCCAAAGCAAUUCCGUCACCUCAACUACGUUGGACAAUUUACGACCGAUUUGCACGAAAUCAUUAAAUCCGGCUCUAGCGCGUUGCAAUUAAAAAAGGUACGAUUUCCCGAUCAAGAUGUCGGGAUAUGCUGCGAUCUCUCGAUCGAAAUCCUGCGACCAUGCGUGUUCCGGAACUGUUACGACGCACCGUAUUUCCCAUGGACUUUCCCAUCUGGGGAUACGCACCACGCAAAAACUGGUCACGACGCGCUGUGUCUGGCCGUCCGUAAACAAAGAUUGUCGAACGUGGACGCGGCAAUGCAUACCGUGCCAACGUAAUAAAGUUACCAGGCACGUAUCUUCACCAGUCGGAACAUUUAAAACAUUAGCAGGGCGAGUCGAGCAUAUCACGUAGACAAUAUCGUAAUGCAAUAUUCGCAAGGCUAUCGAAGCCAUUCCCAUCGCUGACAUGGAAGCGCCAACCGUUGCCUCGGCCCUCCUUUCGACUCGCAUAGCUCGUUUCGGCGUACCUUUAAAAAUCACGACCGACCAAGAACGGCAAUUUGAAUUGCGACUGUUUGAGGAGCUAUGCCGGUUGCUCGGCGUCAAGCACUUACGACGGCCUAUCAUCCCGCGGCUAACGGGAUGGUAGAGCGCCUACAUAGACAACUGAAAGAGGCGAUCAAGUGUCAUGACACGAGCAACUGGGUCGAAAUUCUGCCGAUCGUUUUGCUAGGCAUCAGAACCGCGAUAAAGGAAGACCAUAACGCAACGGCGGCCGAAAUGGUUUGUGGCACCGGCAUACGAUUGCCGGCGGAAUUUUUCUUACCAACAAAGCAGCGGGCCAAUACAGAAUACGUGAACCGGUUAAAAGAACGGAUGGAGGAAGUCAGGCCAUACCCGGUCACGCGUCAUGGCGAAAAGAAAAUGUUCAUCUUUAAAGAAUCAGAAACUUCACCGUAUUGUGUGUAAACAACAUGUCUUAACCGUUUCAAUGUUACAAAACAUUUUUCAACACGGUUGGCGCUUUCCGGAUAUCUUGUAGCGUAUAAAGUUGCAGAUGUACACAUGUGCUUCUUUGAUAUUUACUUAAGUACCAAGAGUACGUGCUUCUCAUUAUUUGAAAACAUUUUUCGGGAACAGUUGUUACUAACUUGAAUACAAUAUGUUUGCUUAUACAUACAAUGUUUGCCUGUACUUUGAAUUUCAGGCGGACGUGUUUGUAUAGAAUUUCGCUCUGUCUAGAUAUCUCGAGGUAUUUAUUCGGCAAGCGAACAACAAUUUUAGCAGCAUGAAAGAUGUAUUUAUUUAUGAUUACUUGGAACCGGGAAUGUUGUGAUUAUUCAGAGACGUACAGAAAAUAUCAACAUAUCUUGCGAAACGUCGAACCGAUAUCAAAGUUUACGAUAAUCCCCUUUCAUUUACUCGACAUUCAUAAAUUCAAGAUCAUAUCAUGGUUAUUGUGAUGAAUUCGUCUUGUCAUCAGUUACAAGAUUAUAAAGUCCAAAAUACAUAGUGUUAUUUAAAAAAAAUCAAGGCGACCUUCAUUUUUAUCGAAGAAAAUAUUUUUUGGUAAUCUUCUUCGUUAGAAUUUGUUGCCGACUUAACAUUGAAUAACUUUAGUUUGAAAUAUUUUCCUGUCACAUUAUGUGAGUGUUGCAAAUAUAUCGUGGACAUUUUUUACAGUAGCGUUUAUCCAAAUAGAAUACUGCACACUAUCAUCGAAAUACUAUUUCGGUUUUUAUUGCUUGUUACCAUUUUGACAGUUCUGUCCGAGCAACCGAACUAAACAAACUGAGAAACUGUACGUCAUCGAAAGUGAGACAAGCAGUGAAUUUAGGUGGACAAAACGACAACGAACGUUGUCAAAUGGUUAAAGCUCUAAAAUGCAAAAACAAAAACCGCCAAUCAAAAUAACCAACAAAGGUUUUUAAAUAUGCUAUAUAAACAAAGCUACAAAUACGCUAAGCCAAAAACAACCACUUAAUAAAAAACAGGAAAGCUUAGCUACACAAGAAAUGGAAACAUUGCAAAAGCAAGAAGAGAACAGCUAUAACGACGAACUAUCCUAUCAAUAUGAAAACUGGAAGAUAGUAACAGCUCAUAAAAAGCGUAAAAUAAUACCAGACACAAGCGCUAUGAAAAUUUCAGAUACAGAAAAACAACAGUGACUACAAGACAUCCCACUUCGAAAUUCUUUCAGUUCACUGAUCGAAUAUGUAGAUACGGAUCCGAAAGAAAAAGUAAUAUUUGAUAUCGUUAAACCACCACCAAUCUAUAUUGAUGACCAAAUAAUAAAUCCCCUUAUUGAACUAUUAAAGAACACUGACGGAAAAAUACUUCAGUAUAAAUCAAUAAAAUUGGAACAAGUAAAAGUACAAACAAAUACUCAAGAAAUCCUUAGAAAAGUGACGCAAGCAUUAAGGUAGUGCAGCGGUACAUGAGUCGUUGGACGAUUGGAAUCGGGAGCAACUCGUAUUGUUGUAGCUUACAGUGUCAACGCUGUUUUGAUUUGCUAGGUUCAAGAAUAAGUCAACGCCGUUUUGAUUUGUUAGGUUCAAGAAUAAGUCAACGCCCGUUAGCCGCGCUAGAAACACUCAUCAGGCUUAGGUCCUGACAGUGUGCGCCAAAGUAGACAAUCAUUCACUAAAAGAGAAGGAAAAAGUGACAAAAAGUGACAAGAAGUGGAAAAUAUUGCAAUGAUAUCAUCGCUAUAAAUAAAAAUAAAAAAAAUAAAAUAAAAUAAAAUAAAAUCAAUAAAAA